GAGGAAGAGUUUGGGGAAAGCGAGGAAACCAGAUGCAGCCCGACCAAGACCAGAGCUGCAACGUCGGCACGACCAGUUCGCACGAGACGGGGGACCAGGAGCAACGACUUCGAUUAUUCUUGAUUCUGUUGUUAGUUAAAUCUCUGUGUAGUUAGAAUAAUGAACUGAAAAUAAUUGCUUAGGUCAACUAUGUAAUUAGAAGACAAAUAUAAAUACUAAGGAGAUCGCAGGAGUCGAUAUCCAUUUUUUUGAGAAAGUAAUUCCAGUUUCCCCCUCCGGCUCCUUAGGGAGACUUCUUUUCCAACCUCCGGCUUCCGUUCUGGAAAAUUUCCUCGACGACGACGAGUAACGUGUUACAUUGGUGCUUUCUUGAGCCGGAUAAUUCCCCUCUUAGGACGACGAUUAUCACAGUCGGGAAUGACUUUAAAAAUUUACGAUUUUACAGGACAUAUUCCAAGCCUUAAUUGGAUCCGCAACAGGGGAGCAAGAUCAAUUUAGUCAUAGAACUUUCAAACUAUUUUUUGUAAUUUCCAAACUGUAUUGACAAUGGCAGAUGGUGACGAGACAAAUAGCAAGGUAGAAGAAAUUCGGCAGGAGUUGGGAAUAGCUCUGACGGAUCAAACAUCUCGAUUGACAGAGGUAACAAGACGAAAAGAUGCGUCAAUCGCGAAUCCGGCAGAACAAAUCACGGAUCUGUCCGAGGUAAUUCGUGAUUUACAGGCAACAAUCGGAGGCCAAAGAGGCCAGGGGGGUCAGGGAGAGGUGGAUGCAGCACUAAGAGCCACACGCGCAAUCAAACUCGACCUUCCGAAAUUUUCGGGUAUCGAUUCAAAAGGUUGGAUUUACCAAGCUGAAGAAUACUUUACAUUCCAUGGCAUAUUCGAUGAUUUCAGAAUUCAAAUUGUUGGGUUUCACAUGACGCGGGGGGCAUUGGGAUGGAUACGAGGGCUCCGACGCAACAAUUUGCUAACAACGUGGGAACGGUUCAUAGAAGAUAUGAGAGAAAGAUUUGGGGACAACGCAUUUGAGGAUAAAUUGCAAGAUCCGUCAAACGGCAUCGGUGGCAAGCUACCUAGAGAAAUUUGAAGAACUGUUGAAUGAAAUCAUCAGACAGAGCGAGGCAUCCUUGAUCAGCUUUUUCAUUAGUGGGCUUAAGCCAGAACUGAAAAGCGAGCUCAAUCUGGUCAAACCGACGAUACUCCGGCGAGCAUUCACGCUAGCUAAAGCACGCGAGGCUCACGGAAAUCCGGGACGAGAUGGGAAUUUUAACACCGAACCACUCAUUACAAAUCCACCAACUGGAGCAAAAGCAUUACCGAUAGUGUGAAAAAUGUUGACAGUUGAAGAACGGAAAGAGCGGUCGGCCAAAGGAUUAGGCUUUAACUGUGAUGAAUCCUAUAUUCCAGGACACAAAUGCAAGAGCCGCUUAUUCCGGAUGGAUGCGAAAGGAGAAUGCUUGGUGGAGAUUCUGGACCAAAUGGGGGAGGACGAUUCAAACACAAAUACAAACGAAUCUUCAACAACCACAGAAAUCAGUUUACAUGCAUUCGCGGGAACAUUCAACCCACGCACAAUCAGACUAACAAGGUGGGUACAAGGUCGACCGUUAUCAGUACUCAUUGACAGUGGGAGCACCCACAAUUUCAUACAGGAAUCGGUAGUGAAUCGACUUGGGUUCGAUAUACAAUCCUUACCAAAAUUUCAUGUUUUUAUCAGAAGUGGUGAGUUUUUGGUUUGUAAAGAAAUGUGCAGGCAGGUUGCAAUAACAAUUCAAAAUACAGCAAUCGUGGAAGAUUUAUUCGUACUGCCCAUGGAUGGCGCAAAUAUUGUGUUGGGGAUUCAGUGGCUAGAAAAACUGGGGGCAGUUACGACAAAUCAUAAAGAAUUGACUAUGGAGUUUGCAAAUGGGAAUAAAAAAAUUCUAUUUCAAGGUGAUCCCCAUUUGGCAGAAACGGAAAUUACCAAAUCUGGGCUACGUCGGUUGGUGGCAAGAAAAGAAGUUGCAUACUUUUAUCAUUUAAGGAGUGAAAACUUGGAUCCAGGGGAAACCAGUCCAGUACCGGGUCUAGCAGAAGUGUUAAAAGAAUUUAAAUACGUGUUAGCUGAACCAAAUAGCCUUCCACCGGAUCGAAUUACAAACCACCGAAUUGCACUUAUACCAGGAUCAGAACCGGUCAAUGUCCACCCGUACCGGUAUCCACAUUUUCAGAAAGAUGAAAUCGAGAAGUUAACGACCGAGAUGUUAAAACAAGGCCUAAUCAGACACAGCAUAAGCCCGUUCUUAUCACUAGUAUUGUUGGUGAAAAAGAAAGACAGAAGUUGGCGGCUUUGUGUCGACUACCCGACACUAAACGCGAUUACUGUCCGGGAUAGAUUUCCAAUUCCCACCAUGGACGAGUUACUCGAUGAGCUUCAUGGGGCGGCGGUAUUUUCAAAAUUAGAUCUGCGUGCAGGUUACCAUCAGAUCCGGAUCGCGGAAGACGAUAUCGAAAAAUCCGCGUUCAGAACACAUCAGGGCCACUACGAAUUUACGUAAUGCCCUUCGGCCUAUCCAACGCACCGGCAACCUUUCAAGCCACAAUGAAUCAACUAUUUCAGCCUUGGUUGCGGAAAUUCGCCAUCGUGUUCUUUGACGAUAUUUUGGUAUACAACAAAUCACGAGAUGAACAUCAAAGCCAUCUAAUCACGGUGUUCAAUUUACUAAGACAACACUCGUUUUUUGUACGAGAAACUAAAUGUGCCUUCGGGUUGGAAGAACUUUUGCAUAUUUGGGACACAUGAUUUCUACAAAAGGAGUGAAACCGGAUCCUGAAAAAAUCAGCGCAGUGAGCAAUUUACCGGAGCCCAUCAACGUUAGGCAAACAAGAGCAUUCCUCGGCCUAACAGGCCGCUACUAUCGGAAAUUUGUGGCGCAAUAUGCACAGGUGGCAGCACCACUCACGAAUUUGCUACGGAAAGAUGGGUUCAAGUGGUCCGAUGAGGCCAGAAAAGCAUUUGUACAAUUAAAAGAAGCACUCACCACGGCACCGAUACUCGCAUUUCCAAAUUUUGAAUUACCAUUCGUAGUCGAAACCGACGCUUGCGACAUUGGGAUUGGGGCGGUGUUAUUGCAAUUAGAACACCCAAUAGCUUAUUUCAGCCGAAAAAUAUCACUAUUAUGACAAAGAGGGUCGACUUAUUCAAAAGAAUUAUGGGCUUUGACAGAAUCCGUACAUAAAUGGCGUCAUUAUCUACCAGGGAGGGAAUUCAUCAUAAGAACGGAUCACUGUAGCCUCAAAAAUCUGUUAGCAUAAUCAAUCCAGUCACCCGAGCAACAAUAUUUUUUAACACGGUUGCUGGGAUUUUCAUUUAAAAUUGUGUACAAAAGGGGUAAAGACAACGUGGUAGCGGACGCCUUGUCACGUUCUCCGGCAACAGAAGCAGAGGCAGAAGUCGGGUUACUGUCCCGAUUAACCAGCGUGGCAAAAUCAGACUGGGGGGAGCGGAUGCACGAAGAAAACAGAUUAGACCCAUAGCUUGUAAAAAAAAAAAACAAGUACAACAAGGAGAGUCCGAUCCAGAUUAUGAAAUUAAAGAAAAUAUUUUAUAUUUCAGAAACAGAUUUUGUUUGGGGACAAUAUCGGAACUAAGGAGGAAAGUGCUCGAUGAAUUGCACGGAUCGAAGGCAGGAGGACAUUCUGGAUUUUUUCGCACACUACAUCGUGUUCGGCAGAGGUUCGCAAGGUAUGAACAAAUUCAUCAAAGAAUUUGUAGCUCAAUGCAUUACAUGUCAGCAAAUAAAAGCAAUCGUGCUCAAGCCAAUGGGGUUACUCCAGCCACUACCCAUUCCGGUUGCGAUUUGGGAAGAUAUAUGCAUGGAUUUUGUGACUGGGUUGCCAGCAGUUCGCGGUCAUUCGGUCAUCAUCGUGGUCGUGGACAGGCUAACAAAAUACUGCCAUUUAGGGAGCUUGCCGGCUAACUAUUCGGCAACAUCAGCAACGGACUAUUUUAUUAAACAAAUAAUCCGGCUACACGGGAUUCCGAAGACCAUUGUCUCCGACCGCGACAAAAUUUUCUUGAACAGAUUUUGGAAGAAAUUUUUCGCAAGAUGUGGCACAACCCUAAAAAUGACGUCGGCAUAUCACCCAGAGUCCGACGGCCAAUCCGAGACAGUUAGCAAAACUAUCGAACAAUACCUCAGAGCAAUGGUUCACGAAAAUCAAAGAAAUUGGAUCGAAUUGCUCGCAUGGACAGAGCUCUGGUAUAAUAUAUCAUUUCACCAGAGUUUGGAAACGAUGCCAUUUCAAGCCGUGUAUGGCCGGCCACCACCGGAGAUGAUCGAUUACCGGGCGGGAGAUUCUAAUAUUGAGGCAGUGGAUGUAUUGUUGAACCAACGCGAUGCACUUUUAAAAAAUCUAAAAAUUAAUCUCCAAGCUGCACAAGACAGGAUGAAGAAGUAUGCCGACCUCAAACGACGACCAUUUGAAUUCGAGGAAGGAGAAUGGGUUUGGCUCAAGCUACAGCCGUAUAGGCAAAACUCAGUUCAUCGAUGAACCUGCCUCAAACUGUCGAAACGUUUUUAUAGACCAUUUGUAAUUGAGAAGAAGAUUAGUGUCGUGGCCUAUCGACUUAAGUUACCACCGGGGAGUUUGAUAUUUCCGAUAUUCCAUAUCGCCUUACUAAAACCGUUUCAAGGAAAGCAGCCGGGAGAUCUCAUUAGUCCACUGUCACCACUAAAUAAAGAAUCACAUCCAGUAGUCUGCCUGGAUAAAAUAGUGGCAUAUAGAAGCAUCAAACGACGGGGAAAAGCAAUUAAUCAAGUACUAAUAGAGUGGGCAGGACUUCCACCAGAUGACAGAUCGUGGGAGGAUUUAGAAGACAUCAAACGACUAACCGCGGAUUCCAAUCUUGAGGACAAGAUUAAAUCAGAUGGGGGGAGGGAUGUAACAAUCACUCUGGAUCUACAUACCGUAGUGGCUAGACUACAAGAAGAAUUGGAGCUGAUGGAGAAAGAGUGUAACAGUUGCACUACAACUGGACUCGAUUGCAGCCCGACUCAAGGAGGAUCUAGGACUGGUGAGUCAAGAACCUGAGGAACGAGCUAAUGAACGGCCUAACAGAAUUAGGCCGGAAAAGAAGGACAAUAGCUUUGUAUACUAUUGAAUAAGUUGUUGUAAUCUAGUUAGUUACUUUGUUGUUAAUAUUGAAACUCUAUAAAUAAGAUAGCAUAAACUCAAGGGAGUUAUGCAACCAAUUCAGUCCUCUAAAAACUUCUCAUCUCCGGCUCCCAAUCCGGGAGAAUUCUGAUGACAGUGCAGUUCGACGGACUAACGUCGUAACAAAGAGUUUGGGGAAAGAGAGGAAACCUGAUGCAACCCGACCAAGACCGGAGCUGGAACGUCCGCACGACCAGUUCGCACGAGACGGGGGACCAGGAGCAACGACUUCGAUUAUUUUUUAUUCUGUUGUUAGUUAAAUCUCUGUGUAGUUAGAAUAAUGAACUGAAAAUAACUGCUUAGGCCAACAAUGUAAUUAGAAAACAAAUAUAAAUACUAAGGAGAUCGCAGGAGUCGAUAUCCAUUUUUUUGAGAAAGUAAUUCCAGUUUCCCUCUCCGGCUCUUUAAUUAGGGAGACAUCUUUUCCAACCUCCGACUUCCGUUCUGGAAGAUUUCCUCCAACGACUCGUCGACGACGACAAGUAACGUGUUACACCUACUUUUGGAAUUGCAAAUUAGUAAGAUGGGGGGAGAGCUGCAACAAAUCAAAGCUACUGUUACAAACAACUUGAAGUGGACUGCAAUAUAGGAAGAAGCGAUGUUAUUUCGUGCAAACUAGAACCAUUUUGCGAUUAUUUAAUUUGGCCGCCAUGAAGUGAUAUAUCAAAAACAUAAAAGAAUAUAUGGACAUUUAAAAAAUAACAUACCUAAAUAAGGAUGUUUUACCUUGACAUAUGCUCACAAAAGAGCUGAUGACUGUAGAUGUUGAAGGGAAAAAGGUGUGGAAACAGUCGGCGGCUAUUAUUGAAGACUAUUUUACAAAAAUUAAAAAAUAUAUAUAUUUAGAUGAAAUUGUCAAAUCUGAAAAAGUUUUAAAUUGAUAACAAUUCA
rnacentral:lncRNA from 1 species